UACGUGGGGGGCAAGCGUUGUUCGGAAUUACUGGGCGUAAAGGGCUCGUAGGCGGCCAACUAAGUCGGAUGUGAAAUCCCCAGGCUCAACUUGGGAACUGCAUCCGAUACUGGAUGGCUUGAAUCCGGGAGAGGGAUGCAGAAUUCCAGGUGUAGCGGUGAAAUGCGUAGAUAUCUGGAGGAAUACCGGUGGCGAAGGCGGCAUCCUGGACCGGCAUUGACGCUGAUGAGCGAAAGCUAGGGGAGCAAACGGG
rnacentral:rRNA from 1 species